rnacentral:rRNA from 1 species
UGGGGAAUCUUGCGCAAUGGGCGAAAGCCUGACGCAGCAACGCCGCGUGAGCGAAGAAGGCCUUCGGGUUGUAAAGCUCUGUCAGGAGGGACGAAGCCACUCGGGUGAAUAGCCCAGAGGGUGACGGUACCUCCAGAGGAAGCCCCGGCUAACUACGUGCCAGCAGCCGCGGUAAUACGUAGGGGGCGAGCGUUGUCCGGAAUCAUUGGGCGUAAAGCGCGUGUAGGCGGCUUGGCAAGUCCGGUGUGAAAGCUCGAGGCUCAACCUCGAGUCUGCAUCGGAAACUGCCUUGCUAGAGUCCGGAAGAGGAGACUGGAAUUCCUGGUGUAGCGGUGAAAUGCGCAGAUAUCAGGAAGAACACCGGUGGCGAAGGCGGGUCUCUGGGACGGUACUGACGCUGAGACGCGAAAGCGUGGGGAGCAAACAGG